AUGUUCAGGCCCAAUUUUAUGUUUCUCCUUUUUUCUCCUAACCCAGCACACAACCCGCAGCCCUGCUUAGUCUUCAGAUGGCCCGUCUUCGAUGCAUGUUUAUUGAGCGCCCUGCGUGUCGCGUGUGCUGGGAAUGUGGUAAGAGGCAGAGCCGGCCCACCCUUCAUGGAGCUGAUGCUGUCUGUGGGGCAGCAGACGGGCCAGCAGGUGGAACGUGCCGAUAACGUGAAGGAUGAAGUUGUAAAUGGGGAGAAGGUCCAAGGGCAAGAAUUUUCAAGGAACCGAAAGACACUGGAGCCGAGAAGGGAACAUGGCCCUGAGAGGAGCUGUAGAGGGAGGAGGGGGCAAACAGGAUGGAGUUUCCUCAAACGAACGUCAUACGGUCUAGUGCUCCGCGGAAACACUGGAACAUUCUCCUUGCGGUGGAACGACGGUGGCACCUUAUUGGCAGAGGCAGCCAGGACCAGGCUCCACCUGGAAGAAGUUCCUGGGGUCAGGCUGGGGAAAGCAGACAGUGAGUUCAUUUUUAAACCCAAGUGGGCACCACAGCUGCCAGGGAGAAGCAGAUGGCCCUUGGGGAGAAUAGAGAUCGGCAUCUGGUCAGACACUUGUCAGGAAGCCCGCAGGCUGCCAAGUGGGCAGGGGUUCAGACUGGCUGAAGGCCAGGAGUGUGCUUGAGGGGUCAGGGUGGGGCUGAGGGGAGCAGCAGCUAACACUCUGGAGCCCAGUGGGGCGCCUGGGGGGGGGGCGCGGACUCCUGAUUUCAGCUCAGGUCAUGGUCUCAGGGUUGUGGGAUCGAGCCCUGCGUGGGGCUCCGUGCUCAGUGUGGAGUCUGUUUGCGAUUCUCUCUCCUCUCCCUCUGCCUCUCCCCGCCCCCGCCCCACUCAUAUGCUCUCUUUCUCAAAUAAAUAAAUAAAUC
ensembl:lncRNA